rnacentral:rRNA from 1 species
CGUGGUGUGAACUGUCUGCUUAAUUGCGAUAACGAGCGAGACUCCGACUGUUAGAUAGUGGGAGGUUUGUUUUAACCUCCGCACUUCUUAGGGGGAUUCGCAACUUCAAGUUGCAAGAAAUGGAGCAAUAACAGGUCUGUGAUGCCCUUAGAUGUCCGGGGCAGCACGCGUGCUACAAUGGUGGUAACAGCGUGAUUGUCCUCGCCCGAGAGGGCUUGGCAAACAGUUGAGAUAUUAUUAUGGCUGGAAUUGAGUGUUGAAAUUUUCUCUCAUGAACGAGGAAUUCCAAGUAAAUGCGAGUCAUCAACUUGCAUUGAAUACGUCCCUGCCCUUUGUAC